rnacentral:rRNA from 1 species
GACGAACGCUGGCGGCGUGCCUAAUACAUGCAAGUCGAACGCUUCUUUCCUCCCAAGUGCUUGCACUCAACUGGAAAGAGGAGUGGCGGACGGGUGAGUAACACGUCGGUAACCUACCCAUCAGAGGGGGAGAACACUUGGAAACAGGUGCUGAUACCGCAUAACAGUUUAUGCCGCAUGGCAUAAGAGUGAAAGGCACUUUCGGGUGUCGUUGAUGGAUGGACUCUCGGUGCAUUAGCUAGUUGGUGAGGUAACGGCUCACCAAGGCCACGAUGCAUAGCCGCCCUGAGAGGGUGAUCCGCCACACGAGGACUGAGACACGGCCCAGACUCCUACGGGAGGAAGCAGUCGGGAAUCUUAGGCAAUGGACGAAAGUCUGACAGAGCAACGCCGCGUGAGUGAAGAAGGUGUUCGGAUCGUAAAACUCUGUUGUUAGAGAAGAACAAGGACGUUAGUAACUGAACGUCCAAUGACGGUACCUAACCAGAAAGCCACGGCUAACUACGUG